ensembl:lncRNA
GCAAUUUCUUUGUAGGAAGGACCUACAUUUUUAAGUGUUAUGAUGCUGCUCACAAGGGUAUGGUACCACAGUGUGUUCCAACACUGCUUUAUACAGACAAAGGAGGUUGUAAGUAGAAAAUUUGGAACACCUGUAGGAAUAAGUAGCACCAGCUCUCAAGACUUGAUUGACUUCCAUUGCUGCAGAACAAUUUUAAAUUGUUAACCCAUUUUGUGUUCCCUGAAAAAGGAGUUUUUUGUAUAAUUCUGAAAUGUACAUUGAUGAUAACAUGAUGUCCUGGUGGUAUGACAUUUCGCAUAAAUGUCAACAAGGCUAAUGUGAUAGUACAGAAAAAGCAACGUGUAUAUAUAUACCAACUAUACCAAUCCAUGAUUUCAAUGAUUUGUUCCAUUAUUUUUCGGGCUGUUCAGGUGCGACUGCCUCUGAACCAAAGCCAGCUGGUCGGGGUUGGUCCCAGAAGUCCUCAACAACAUCCCAAAGCAGGAGCAUUUUGCAGGCAUUUCAGGCAUCCUCCCAAAAGCCUUCUCGAACUGGAGCCACCAAAUCUUAUGCAGAUGAAGUGAUCAUUGAUGACUCAGAUGAGGAUAUACCUGUAACAAAAGCUGCCCGACCCCCUCCAAAGUAUGUUUGUAUAAACCUAGACUGUAGAAGUGUUAUAUAGUGUUAUAUUUUG